rnacentral:rRNA from 1 species
UACGGAAGGGACUAGCGUUGUUCGGAAUUACUGGGCGUAAAGCGCACGUAGGCGGCUUGGUAUGUCGGGUGUGAAAUCCCCGGGCUCAACCUGGGAACUGCAUCCGAAACUGCCUUGCUCGAGUAUGGGAGAGGGAAGUGGAAUUUCCGGUGUAGCGGUGAAAUGCGUAGAUAUCGGAAGGAACAUCAGUGGCGAAGGCAGCCAUCUGGACCGACACUGACGCUGAGGCGCGAAAGCGUGGGGAGCAAACAGG